rnacentral:lncRNA from 1 species
CCGCUGAAACCUGUCCACCAUGGGUGAUCCUGCUGGUAUUUGAAAUACUGGUGGCUUAGCUUUCAGCAUCACAGCAACAUGCAGCUGCCACAGUAGGGCAACUGACAGAUAUGUGGUGUGGUUACCGGACUGGGAAAUGAAUCCAGGCCAUUGUGUUGAGGGUGCCAAAUCUUAGCCACUAGACCAUCAUAUCUGGCUAUAGGCUAUAUUUACUGUCUGUUUGUUUUUCAGAUAAUCUGAGAAAACACUACCAAUGCAUCACACAGGAGAUAGAAUGCUGAAUAAUAGACCGUCUGUGUGACCACAAAUGAAUAUGAUAUGUUGCUAAGCUGCAUGAUAUAAUGGGAAGUAGAUUCCUGUUACUUUUGAGAAGCUUACCUCUGUGAUGAUGAGAAAGAGUUGCUUUUCAAAGCAGGGACACUAAAGGGAUCUCUGUUGCAGAAGAUGGACGUUGGCUGGAAAUUGGAUUGGAAGAAUGAAGCUAUACAAAGUAGAUGGAAGGUGAUUUCUAGCUCUUUAUGAGUGAAGUUAAAAUUCGUCCUUCAAACUGUGAACCAGCUUCUGAAAGGUAAGACUUUAAUAGUUCAUAGUGCAAAUCAGGCUUUGCAGUUGUUUGAAUUUCUUUAUUACAUAGGAAAUUAUAGCACUUGA